rnacentral:rRNA from 1 species
CGAUUCUGGCUCAGGAUGAACGCUAGCGGCAGGCUUAACACAUGCAAGUCGAGGGGCAACGCGAGUAGCAAUACUUGGCGGCGACCGGCGCAAGGGUGCGUAACGCGUGAGCAACAUGCCCGUAUCAGGGGGAUAAUCCAGGGAAACUUGGUCUAAUACCCCAUAGUAAUUUUUGUAAGGCAUCUUAUAAGAUUUAAAGCUUUGGUGGAUACGGAUUGGCUCGCGUGACAUUAGCUGGAUGGUAAGGUAACGGCUUACCAUGGCUAUGAUGUCUAGGGGUUCUGAGAGGAAGGUCCCCCACACUGGAACUGAGACACGGUCCAGACUCCUACGGGAGGCAGCAGUGAGGAAUAUUGGACAAUGGAUGGAAAUCUGAUCCAGCCAUGCCGCGUGAAGGAAAAGAAGGUCCUAUGGAUUGUAAACUUCUUUUGUAUGGGAGCAAUAAGGCCUACGAGUAGGUUGAUGAGAGUACCAUACGAAUAAGCACCGGCUAACUCCGUGCCAGCCGCAGC